GCGAGGGUGCCUGAGAUGGCUUAAAGGAUCGAAUUGCAAAUUCGAAGAUCGUGGGUUCGAAUCCCACCCCUUGCUCCA
rnacentral:tRNA from 1 species